AGUGAACGCUGGCGGUAGGCCUAACACAUGCAAGUCGAACGGCAGCACAGUAAGAGCUUGCUCUUACGGGUGGCGAGUGGCGGACGGGUGAGGAAUACAUCGGUAUCUACUUUUUCGUGGGGGAUAACGUAGGGAAACUUACGCUAAUACCGCAUACGACCUACGGGUGAAAGCAGGGGAUCUUCGGACCUUGCGCGAUUGAAUGAGCCGAUGUCGGAUUAGCUAGUUGGCGGGGUCAAGGCCCACCAAGGCGACGCUCCGUAGCUGGUCUGAGAGGAUGAUCAGCCACACUAGAACUGAGACACGGUCCAGACUCCUACGGGAGGCAGCAGUGGGGAAUAUUGGACAAUGGGCGCAAGCCUGAUCCAGCCAUACCGCGUGGGUGAAGAAGGCCUGCGGGUUGUAAAGCCCUUUUGUUGGGAAAGAAAAGCAGCAGGUUAAUACCCCGCUGUUCUGACGGUACCCAAAGAAUAAGCACCGGCUAACUUCGUG
rnacentral:rRNA from 1 species